rnacentral:misc_RNA from 1 species
UUUCCGUAGGUGAACCUGCGGAAGGAUCAUUAUCGAAAAGCAAUCCGGGGGGGAGGCGACCGGGCGAGGUUUGGUAGAGCGUAGGGAUUGUCGCUGGCCUUUGGAACCAAAGGCAUUUGCACGUUCCGAGUUCUCCUUAGUCCUCCGUUGCCUUUCCUUUGGAAGACCCUUUCUUCACCCCCGUGCACACUUUGUAGGUCUCCGCGAGAAGAUCUAGGUCUUCACAAAACACUACGUAUGUCCAGGAAUGUAUCUAAAGCGUCGAACGGCUCGGCUCCAUGCCCGGUGGCGGACGGUAAAGAACCAUAAUACAACUUUCAGCAACGGAUCUCUUGGCUCUC